rnacentral:miRNA from 1 species
UGAAGUACGAGGAAAAAAUUAAGUCCUUGAGAGGUAGAGAAGUUGAAAUGUGAAAAAUUGCAGUUUGAAAUGUGAAAAAUUGCAGUUUGAAAACUGCAAUUUUUCACAUUUCAACUUCUCUACCUCAUCAUUCAAGAACUUAAUUUUUUCCUCGUGUUU